rnacentral:lncRNA from 1 species
CACCAACUAGACUGGCCGUCAUUCCUGACUCUUCAUUUCUCUUGGUUGCUAUUACUCUAUUUUCUUAACAUAUGAGCUAUUUUUCCUAUUUAAAUUUUAACUUUUGGAUAUCUGAGAUAGAUCCUUAUAAAGCGUGUGUUAAAUGGAUGGCUGUCUUCUUAUUUUCUGAUGUAACCGGGUUGCACCUUAGAACGGUAAGGAGUUGAGAAAUUUCAAGGGCCUAACGGUAAGGAGUUGAGAAAUUUCAAGGGCCUAUAAAUCUCACCUGCCAUGUUAACUAUUUUGUGUCACUACAUAAUGUAUCAGCUUGGAGGACAUUUGUUUUAGGAGAUAAACAAGCAUAAUAAGGAGUGUCUUCCUUGUGACGUAUCUCUGUGGGCUUCACCUUGGAGCCCUGAACUUUGACUGAGAGUUCACCUGCAUCUGGACUACAUGGACAAGCAUGGGUCUCAGUCAUAUUUGCAAAUAUCUAAGUCGGGAGGAUACAACUGGAGCCGCAAGAGGGUGCAGGGAGCCUUCUCAGCAGAAACUGAACUGGACACAGGCAGAUGUUCCUUUGAACUGAAUAUGGUACUGAGCGCUGCUAAACUGUCAGUUCAAGGACUGCCUCUAUCAUCUCCAAGGAAAGCUGGUUCUGUCCCUUCUUGUCAUAAUUCUCCACAAUCUGCCCAGAGUUUGGAUUCUGCCUCUCCCACUGCCCCCCACAGCCCUGUCGUGCCUGCAGUGGUCAGAAAGACCAUGCCUUUCUGGCCAUGUGGAGCCCACACUCUACGGACCAUUGUUUCAUGGGGCCACACUGUCAUCCCCAAAGACGUCCUAUUAGGACACUUUGUCAACAGCUGUGGGAGGCUUCCCAUCCUAUGAAAGGAGGGAUGGGAACAGUCUUUGCACACAUCGGUGUAUAGGUCAUUCCAACAGUCCAACAAUACCUGAUUAUUCAAGAGACUCCAAUUCAUUUCCCUCCGCUCCUCCUCCACGGUUACUCUUGAUAGAAACCUAAUUUGCAGAAAAAUAGCCCCUGCCAGCUAACUUCUUCUCCGGAAAGCAUGCUGCUGACCCUGGAACUCUUGUCUCAGCGAGUCCUCAUUCUCCUUGUCAAUGCCUCAGUCUUGAAAAGCAGUCUUCUCCGUUAAAAGCCUCCCUUGGCCCCCUUGGCACCUUGUUUGGAAGAUGGUUUCUUUCCCUCCUAUUCUUUGCUUCUCUUUUUAACAUGUGUGCCAAAAUUGGCACUUUCCUUUCUCAGCUCGCUCCCUUUCGGGUAUUAAUGCAGGCAGCAAUGGAGAAAUGUGAGCGAUUUUUCCAGCUUCUGCACUCAGCCAGCCCAUGGCUGAUGGAUUGAAUGUAACAUGCUCUCCCUUACAUAUCACUAUUUAAGUGAAGCGCUUGGGCCGCCUGGUGAUGUAUGGUGUUAUCCAAAGCGCCUGACACAAGCAGGGAGCCAAGGCAGGCUCCACCGUCCUCUGCAAAAAUAACGGUGCUAAUGGCAUUUGGUGCAAAUGAGACUCCUGGAGAACACACUGGGCUUGUUUAUCUCCUUAUUAUUUCUCUUUGUCAAGCAGCCUUUCUCUUUCCUCUCUGGGGCUUCACAAGUGUGGCCUGCCAGGGUUAUUGGGGGAGGGGGAGAAGGUCUCAAAGAGCUCAAGAUUUUGUAACUAAUAUUGAACGCCAGGGAGAAUGGAAGCCAAGGUCAGGUUAAGAAUAAAGAAAAUUGAUUUGGAGGUCAGGGUCAUGGGUGUGAAAGGCCCUGAACAUUGCCAAAAUAUUUUCAUCAUCGCUGUUUUUGUUGUGGAAAAGAACAGAACCUAUGUGAGGAGGCUAAGAGAAGAGAGAGAAACUGUCUUGGAGAAACCUGCAGAAUCAGAAUUUUGCAUGAUUCGUUGAGUUUAUGUUUUCCUUGUUUCCUUGCCUCCCUUGUAUGUGGCCAGAUCUUGAUAAUUAAGCCCUUUCUUCCAACAUGGAACCCUGGACUUGGGAUGAACUAUCUCUCUCUCUAUCUCUCUCUCUCUCUCUCUCUCUCUCUCUCUCUCUCUCUCUCUCUCUCUCUCUCUCUCUCCAUGCUGUUCCCUCUCUCUCUGCUGAAGCUUGAAGACAAAUUCUUCCAGUUCUAUUUGGGGGACUGAGCUAUUUAAUGCACCACUGUGGGUCUUUCUACUUCCCGCCCAUGCCUACAAUAUAUCUACCACACAGAGCUGUAUAUUUUAACGAACGCUCGUUAUUAUUGGAUCUCUGACCCGAUUUCAUUGCUAUAUUCUGAAGCAGAAAACACGCCAGUGGCAUGGAAUUAGCAACACAUUCUGCCAGUGUGUUAAUUGUGCGAGAGCUGUUGGCAGGAGAAUCUCCUAGCACAACACAUCAUUUAUUUUUUAUUUAAAUUUGGUAGCAAUGUUAUAUUGUGUUCAAGGAGAGGUGCCAUGACAUAAAUCACUUGAGAUUUACUGUACAUUCGGGGGGUGGGGGGGAGAAAGAAAGAAAACCUCUGCUUCAUGCAGCCGUGCAGAAGAAAUUAUGUAAUUUUUUUUUUCACUUAGCAGGCAAGCUGCUCGAGCUAAUUCCUAAUUUUUUAUAAAAAGUUGGCAUUUCCCAGCAGUGGUUUGGGACAUCCUCGGGCCCCAACACGGUAUCUGAACGCAGUGGUAGCUGCACAGUAGCAAAUCCCUUACUUUGAUACCAGCAAAUACAC